CUGGUUAUCCUGCGAGUAUCAUAUGCUUGUCUCAACAGAUUAAGCCAUGCAUGUGUAAGUAUGAACUAAUUCAGACCUGGAUGCAAACUGCCGAAUGGCCUCAUUAAAAUCAGUAUAGUUUGUUUGACGGUUACCUACUACUCGGAUACACCGUAGUAAUCUAAGUAAUACGUGCAACAAACCGACUUCUGGGAAGGGAUGCAUUUAUUAGAUAAAAGUCGACGCGGGCUUUGGCCCGUUGCUGCCGAUGAUCAUGAUAACUCGACGGAUCGCACGGCCUAGCGCCGGCACGAUCAUUCAAAUUUCUGCCUAUCAAACUUUCGAUGGUAGGAUAGUGGCCUACCAUGGGUGACGGGUGGACGGCAGAAUUAGGGUUCGAUUCCGAAGAGGAGCCCUGGAAACGCUACCACAUCCAAGAAGGCCAGCAGUAGCGCUGCAAAUACCCAAUCUGCACGGGGAGUGUGAAAUAAAUAAACCCAAUACCGGGCUCGAUCGAGUCUGGGUAAUUGAGAAUGAGACAAUCUAAUCCCUUACGAGGAUCAUUGGAGGAAGUCUGGUGCCAGCAGCGGUCGGAAUUCCAGCUCCAUAGCGAUAUAUU
rnacentral:ncRNA from 1 species